GGGGAGGGAACAGGAAGCGGGAGGGAGUAGGAGCCAUUUCUCCGCGCUGACCGAUCUCCACACUUGCAGUUCCCACUUCCCGGGAAUCUAGGGGGCUCCUCUGCUUAGUACUGAGCCAUGCUGGAUAUCUUCAUCCUCAUGUUCUUUGCCAUCAUAGGCCUGGUGGUUCUGUCCUACAUAAUUUACCUGCUCUAGUGGCCUGGAGCCGCAGGGGCUGCGAGGGGAAGGAUGGAGCUGAAAGGCCGAGCACCCUGCUUGCGGACGCACCGGUGGAUUUUGGCUUCUGGUCAUUAUUCGGCUCCUGUGCGGGGUCCAGCAAGAGGCCCCUUACCAACGACAGCAAUCCUGAGGCCCAACUGACUUCUUCCAGUGUAUCCAGAUGUGGCUGACCCUUGGCAAGCCGGCAUUCUGUGAGGCAGGGGCACUCUUGGGGACAUCAGGAUGCGUGCGAUUGAGCUGUAGACAGGGUGUAUUGUGAAAUGGAAGGUUGGAACAGUGAAGCCAGAGUUGAGAGUGCCCAGGCAUUCACACGGGCAGCCUUUCCUUCCACCUAAAGGCAACUGCACACGAUCCUAAGAUGUUCUUCCCUUCCUGUUUUCCCUUGUAAACUCAAGGGCAAACUCUGAUCAGUAGUUUACAGUUUGUACAGGCUGAGGAUAUGUGGUUUCCCUUGAUCUUCAAACCACUCCACCCCCAAAAUCCUGUUAUUUGAAUUCUUUGAGAUUUAUCAUUUCUUCCCUGCUUUUCCCACUUAUUCCCAGCUCCUUAGUUGACUAGAGGCGCAUGGUUGUGAAGUCUUCAUUCUUUGUGCCCACCUAUAAAGCACUGGGACAAAAUGGCAGUAUUAAUUUAGGAGAAAAAAUUAUCCCCAAUGGAAGGGUCUGAAAACGUUUUAAGAGUUUUUAAACAUUCCUUUAUCCUAAAAAACAAAAACAAAC
rnacentral:lncRNA from 1 species